rnacentral:rRNA from 1 species
AUGCAUAGCCCACAUUUUAGCUACAACAAAAUGGUCUCAUUGCAAGGACCUGAAGAAGGAUCCUCCCACCUCUGCGCAGGUGAUUUCCCCUCUUCCCCGUUUGAUUCCCGUCCUGUAGGUGAGGACAUGUUCCACUGGCAGACCACUAUCAUGGGACCCUCAGACAACCCGUUCACUGGUGGUCUAUUUUUGGAACGAUCGGUUCUUGGUUCGGAAAUUGGAGCAGUGUUAAAUCGUUCCCUCUAUUCCAUCACCUGCAUUGUUUGUCGGUUAUUUUCAUAUCUCAAACGCAUGCGCUUGAUACUCUGGUUGCCCUCUGUCGAUUUUUGUUCUACCGACAGGCAUGGAUUGUUGAUUGUUGUUUGGUUGAUUUCCUUGAGAUGGAUUGUUUUACUUGGCGCUAUUAUUUUUUCUAAACUUUUUUGUGAUUAUUAUGCCUUCACAUUGCACUGCUCCCAGAUCCAUAUCGACACGCCCACGCUGUCUGACGAGGAUAAAGAUGUUAUGAAAAAAUGGGGUGCUCCAAACAAGAUUGACUUCCUCUCUUUCUUAUACAAGGCAUGCAGAAGAUGUAUUGAAAUUUUUUAUAUUGAUAUUUUGUUGAAUAUCACAUUACUACUUUGUUCGUUCGUAUUUCAGAAGUCUGCUUUGCACAAGUGCAACAUGGGUGGAAAACCUGUUGUUGUUACUUGUGUUGUGAACAGUAUGACGGACAACCUAAGGCCUACUCGUGCAGAUGCAACUGAUGUGGCAAAUGUCGUACUGGAUGGUAGUGCUGCCAUUCUCCUUGGUGCUGAGACUCUCCGUGGGUUGUAUCCAGGUGAGACUAUUUCAAUGGAUGAGAAGGUCUUAAACCAUGAUUUGUACUUCAAGCGAACCAUGAAAUACGUGGGAGAACCCAUGAUCCACUUGGAGUCUAUUGCUUCCUCUGUAGUGCGGGAUGCUAUUAAAGCUAAGGCUUCGACCAUCAUUUCACUUGGCUUUCACAUUCCUCAUCUAAAAACAAAUCAAUUGAAGUGGAGCUUCACAAGCGCAUUUGAAUGUGCCACUGUUAUAACUCAUAUUUGUUGCAUUAUCUUCCUGCAAGCAAGACAAUCACUCAUAGUUAGAGGUCUCUUUCCCAUGCUUGCCGAUCCACGUCACCCGGCUGAAUCUACUAGCACUAGAAAUGAAUCAGUGUUGAAGGUUGCUCUUCACCACGGUAAAGCAUCCGGUGUGAUCAAGUCGCAUGGCUUACCUUAG